rnacentral:ribozyme from 1 species
UGAUCUUCAAUGAUUUUGCUGAUAUUGUUUCAAAUUCUGAUGAAAUAAAAAGAGAGACUGAUGUUCUCGCUUUAUUUGAAAAGAUGGAAAGUAUUGGAUGUGAACCAAGCUUGAUUUCAUUCAACAUACUAAUAAAAACAUGUGCC